rnacentral:rRNA from 1 species
CCUACGGGAGGCAGCAGUGGGGAAUAUUGGACAAUGGGGGGAACCCUGAUCCAGCCAUGCCGCGUGUGUGAAGAAGGCCCUCGGGUUGUAAAGCACUUUCAGUGAGGAAGAACGCCUGGUGGUUAAUACCCAUCAGGAAAGACAUCACUCACAGAAGAAGCACCGGCUAACUCCGUGCCAGCAGCCGCGGUAAUACGGAGGGUGCGAGCGUUAAUCGGAAUUACUGGGCGUAAAGCGCGCGUAGGUGGCUUGAUAAGCCGGUUGUGAAAGCCCCGGGCUCAACCUGGGAACGGCAUCCGGAACUGUCAAGCUAGAGUGCAGGAGAGGAAGGUAGAAUUCCCGGUGUAGCGGUGAAAUGCGUAGAGAUCGGGAGGAAUAUCAGUGGCGAAGGCGGCCUUCUGGACUGACACUGACACUGAGGUGCGAAAGCGUGGGUAGCAAACAGGAUUAGAUACCCUAGUAGUC